rnacentral:rRNA from 1 species
AUGAGACCGGUCUGCAGGCUGUCCGAUGACCCGGUUCAAUUUGUUUCGGAUCUAAUGGAUGGUGAAGGACAGUGGGACGUGCAGUUGAUUCAGAGAAUGUUUAUACAUCCGGAUGUAGAAGCUAUCAUGAGUAUACCGCGUCCGAGGAGGGAAACGGAGGACUUUUGGGCUUGGGCAUGGGAGAGGUCAGGACUGUUUUCAGUUCAGUCGGCUUACCAUGCGAUGAUGGAGAGACGAGGGACUGA